GAUAGAGGGGUGCUCGAAAGAGAGCCGUAACACAGGUGCUGCAUGGCUGUCGUCAGCUCGUGUCGUGAGAUGUUGGGGUUAAGUCCCGCAACGAGCGCAACCCUUGUCAUUAGUUGCUACAUUCAGUUGGGCACUCUAAUGAGACUGCCGGUGACAAGCCGGAGGAAGGUGGGGAUGACGUCAAGUCCUCAUGGCCCUUAUAGGUGGGGCUACACACGUCAUACAAUGGCUGGUACAAAGGGCUGCCAACCCGCGAGGGGGAGCCAAUCCCAUAAAGCCAGUCGUAGUCCGGAUCGUAGUCUGCAACUCGACUACGUGAAGUCGGAAUCGCUAGUAAUCGUGGAUCAGAAUGUCACGGUGAAUACGUUCCCGGGUCUU
rnacentral:rRNA from 1 species